GGAAUAUUGCACAAUGGGGGAAACCCUGAUGCAGCGACGCCGCGUGAGCGAUGAAGUAUUUCGGUAUGUAAAGCUCUAUCAGCAGGGAAGAAAAUGACGGUACCUGACUAAGAAGCCCCGGCUAACUACGUGCCAGCAGCCGCGGUAAUACGUAGGGGGCAAGCGUUAUCCGGAUUUACUGGGUGUAAAGGGAGCGUAGACGGCGGUGCAAGCCAGAUGUGAAAGCCCGGGGCUCAACCCCGGGACUGCAUUUGGAACUGUGCUGCUAGAGUGUCGGAGAGGCAGGCGGAAUUCCUAGUGUAGCGGUGAAAUGCGUAGAUAUUAGGAGGAACACCAGUGGCGAAGGCGGCCUGCUGGACGAUGACUGACGUUGAGGCUCGAAAGCGUGGGGAGCAAACA
rnacentral:rRNA from 1 species